GAGAGUUUGAUCCUGGCUCAGAACGAACGCUGGCGGCAUGCCUAACACAUGCAAGUCGAACGAACCCUUCGGGGUUAGUGGCGCACGGGUGCGUAACGCGUGGGAACCUGCCUUUAGGUUCGGAAUAACUCAGAGAAAUUUGAGCUAAUACCGGAUGAUGUCUUCGGACCAAAGAUUUAUCGCCUUUAGAUGGGCCCGCGUUAGAUUAGAUAGUUGGUGGGGUAAUGGCCUACCAAGUCGACGAUCUAUAGCUGGUCUGAGAGGAUGAUCAGCCACACUGGGACUGAGACACGGCCCAGACUCCUACGGGAGGCAGCAGUGGGGAAUAUUGGACAAUGGGCGAAAGCCUGAUCCAGCAAUGCCGCGUGAGUGAUGAAGGCCUUAGGGUUGUAAAGCUCUUUUACCAGGGAUGAUAAUGACAGUACCUGGAGAAUAAGCUCCGGCUAACUCCGUGCCAGCAGCCGCGGUAAUACGGAGGGAGCUAGCGUUGUUCGGAAUUACUGGGCGUAAAGCGCGCGUAGGCGGCUUUU
rnacentral:rRNA from 1 species